UGACGCGGGGUAGUGGGACCAUGAGAUCGAGCAUCAGAUCGAUCACGGAGUUACCAAGUUGCUGUGUAGGAGAACGGUUCUGGAAAGGCCGGCCAUAGUGGGUAACAGCCCCGUAUCUGAAACGCACGCAACCUCCGCAUGUCAUCCCAAGUAACGCGGGGACCGAGAAAACCCGCGUGAAUCUGUGGAGACCACUCCAUAAGUCUAAGUAUUCCUUGGCGACCGAUAGUGAACUAGUACCGUGAGGGAAAGGUGAAAAGCACCCCGGGAGGGGAGUGAAAUAGUACCUGAAACCGUUGGUUUACAAACAGUCAGAGUGUCGUCCCCGCAAGGGGGCCACGAUGGCGUGCCUUUUGAAGAAUGAGCCUGCGAGUGACGGUAUGUGGCAAGGUUAACCAGUGAUGGGGAGCCGAAGCGAAAGCGAGUCUGAAUAGGGCGUUGAGUCGCAUGCUGUCGACCCGAAGCCAAGUGAUCUAUCCAUGGCCAGGUUGAAGCGGGGGUAAGACCCCGUGGAGGACCGAACACACGUC
rnacentral:rRNA from 1 species